rfam:Schistosoma mattheei strain Denwood, Zambia genome assembly, scaffold: SMTD_contig0001865
GCACUGCUGAAGAGUCUCAAAAUAAGAUGAAACGGCCGUCCAGCGC